UACGUAGGGUGCGAGCGUUAAUCGGAAUUACUGGGCGUAAAGCGUGCGCAGGCGGCUUUGCAAGACAGAUGUGAAAUCCCCGGGCUUAACCUGGGACUGCAUUUGUGGACUGCAUGGCUGGAGUGCGGCAGAGGGGAUGGAAUUCCGGCGUGUAGCAGUGAAAUGCGUAGAUAUGCGGAGGAACACCGAUGGCGAAGGCAAUCCCCUGG
rnacentral:rRNA from 1 species